UACGUAGGGGGCAAGCGUUGUUCGGAUUUAUUGGGCGUAAAGAGCGUGUAGGCGGCCAGGUAGGUCUGCUGUGAAAACUCGAGGCUUAACCUCGAGCUGUCGGCGGAAACCAUCUGGCUAGAGUCCGGAAUAGGAGAAUGGAAUUCCCGGUGUAGCGGUGAAAUGCGCAGAUAUCGGGAAGAACACCCGUGGCGAAGGCGGUUCUCUGGGACGGUACUGACGCUGAGACGCGAAAGCGUGGGGAGCGAACAGG
rnacentral:rRNA from 1 species